rnacentral:rRNA from 1 species
UAAGGAAUAUUGGACAAUGGAGGCAACUCUGAUCCAGCCAUGCCGCGUGAAGGAAUAAGGCCCUAUGGGUUGUAAACUUCUUUUAGACGGGACAAAACCCCUUUACGUGUAAAGGGUUGAUGGUACUGUCAGAAUAAGCAUCGGCUAACUUCGUGCCAGCAGCCGCGGUAAUACGAAGGGUGCAAGCGUUAUCCGGAUUCACUGGGUUUAAAGGGUGCGUAGGUGGGUAUGUAAGUCAGUGGUGAAAUCCCCGAGCUUAACUUGGGAACUGCCGUUGAUACUAUAUAUCUUGAAUGUCGUAGAGGUAAGCGGAAUAUGUCAUGUAGCGGUGAAAUGCUUAGAGAUGACAUAGAACACCAAUUGCGAAGGCAGCUUGCUAUGCGAUUAUUGACACUGAGGCACGAAAGCGUGGGUAGCAAACA